GCUUGGGAAUCUAGCUUAUGGAGGGGGAUAACUACGGGAAACUGUAGCUAAUACCGCGUAGUAUCGAGAGAUGAAAGUGUGGGACCUUCGGGCCACAUGCCAUAGGAUGAGCCCAAGUGGGAUUAGGUAGUUGGUGAGGUAAAGGCUCACCAAGCCGACGAUCUCUAGCUGGUCUGAGAGGAUGACCAGCCACACUGGGACUGAGACACGGCCCAG
rnacentral:rRNA from 1 species